AUAAAUUAGGAGAUCUGGGUUGGGAGAAGCUAUCUGCUCUUUUGAUGGACUCUCAUAGUAAACUGGAGAAAAUGAAGCUGAAGAAUUGUAAGCUGAAAGAGCAAAGCUGUUCAGUUCUAUCUACUGUUCUCUCCUCCAAAACCAUCCUGAAAGAGAUAAACAUGAACAACAGCCGUCUGCUGGACUCAGGAGUCAAAGAGAUUUGUGAGGGACUGAAGAAUCCUGUGUGUGAGCUGGAGAUACUCAAACUUUCAGACUGCAGUAUCA